ACGGGCAUAGUUCAACGGCAGAAUAGUGGUCUCCAAAACCAUUGAUGGGAGUUCGAAUCUCUCUGCCCGUG
rnacentral:tRNA from 1 species